UGAGAAUCUGCCUUUAGGUCCGGGACAACCACUGGAAACGGUGGCUAAUACCGGAUGUGCCGCAACGUGAAAGGGGAAACCCGCCUGAAGAUGAGCUCGCGUCUGAUUAGCUAGUUGGUGAGGUAAAGGCUCACCAAGGCGACGAUCAGUAGCUGGUCUGAGAGGAUGACCAGCCACACUGGGACUGAGACACGGCCCAGACCCCUACGGGAGGCAGCAGUGGGGAAUUUUCCGCAAUGGGCGAAAGCCUGACGGAGCAAGACCGCGUGAGGGAAGAAGGCUCUUGGGUCGUAAACCUCUUUUGUCAGGGAAGAACACAAUGACGGUACCUGACGAAUCAGCCUCGGCUAACUCCGUGCCAGCAGCCGCGGUAAUACGGAGGAGGCAAGCGUUAUCCGGAAUUAUUGGGCGUAAAGCGUCCGUAGGUGGCUAGUCAAGUCUGCGGUCAAAGACUGGGGCUUAACCCUGGAAAGGCCGUGGAAACUGACGAGCUAGAGUGCAGUAGGGGUAGAGGGAAUUCCCGGUGUAGCGGUGAAAUGCGUAGAGCUCGGGAAGAACAUCGGUGGCGAAAGCGCUCUACUGGACUGCAACUGACACUCAGGGACGAAAGCUAGGGGAGCGAAUGGGAUUAGAUACCCCAGUAGUCCUAGCCGUAAACGAUGGAUACUAGGUGUG
rnacentral:rRNA from 1 species